rnacentral:rRNA from 1 species
GACUACGGUCAAACUGCUCUGAAUAAGCCCGAUCCUACUAGAUUUUGGGAGGUAAGCAGGGAUGGGCCCAGGAUGUUCUUGGACGGGAGACCGCCAGGGCAUACUGGGUGCUUGUAGGCC